rnacentral:rRNA from 1 species
CCUACGGGAGGCAGCAGUGAGGAAUAUUGGUCACUGGACGAGAGUCUGAACCAGCCAAGUAGCGUGAAGGAUGACUGCCCUAUGGGUUGUAAACUUCUUUUAUAUGGGAAUAAAAUGUUCCACGGAUAGGAUUUUGUAUGUACCAUAUGAAUAAGGAUCGGCUAACUCCGUGCCAGCAGCCGCGGUAAUACGGAGGAUCCGAGCGUUAUCCGGAUUUAUUGGGGUUAAUGGGAGCGUAGGUGGAUUGUUAAGUCAGUUGUGAAAGUUUGCGGCUCAACCGUAAAAUUGCAGUUGAAACUGGCAGUCUUGAGUACAGUAGAGGUGGGCGGAAUUCGUGGUGUAGCGGUGAAAUGCUUAGAUAUCACGAAGAACUCCGAUUGCGAAGGCAGUUCACUGGACUGCAACUGACACUGAGGCUCGAAAGUGUGGGUAUCAAACAGGAUUAGAUACCCCUGUAGUC